rnacentral:snRNA from 1 species
UUUGGCAAGGAUCGCAUUUC